rnacentral:lncRNA from 1 species
CGUUGCUGGUCUUCUCCAUUAGGUUUUCCUCUUAGAGGAACAGGUUUGAAGUCUCCCUGUGGGAAGUACACUCCCCCCGUCCCCUGUCCCUUGUUCAGAGGAUGCAGGUCCACUGUCAGUCAGUGUGCAGUCCCUCUGUUGGAGGCGCUGUUGCCCGAGGACAUGGGGCCCGGACUGCAGUGCACACAGAUGAUGGAGUUAUGUUGCAAAGGGCCCUUGCUGUGCUGCUGUGCCUGGGAGGGGCCCAACAUGAGUCUGGCCAAGAGCAGCACUCCGCAGAUGUUGGCCAGAGAGAGGCAGACACACGCCCAGUGAAGCACACACCUCAGUCAUCCUGUGCACACAUGGAAGCAACACACUCAUGCACAUGGAGGAUCCCCAGGGCCAGUCACUGUGGUAGCCACGCUGUCAGCUGAGUGUUUCCCGUUCCUGUCCCCUGGAGCAGCCUAGGAGGGCUGCAGGCCUGUGUCCUCCCGUUGAGCUCCAGGCCUGUGGAGUGCGCAGGAUGGUUAAAGUUUGGAACGAGUCACAGUACAUUAGGGAAAUGAGGUGGAGGAGGCCUACUGUGAGAGCCCCGUGUCAGAAAGCAAAGGAAAAGCUGCUGUUAUGGGGCGUGCCGUCAGCCAAGUGUUCCUGUUUCCUGAGGAGUGGAGCAGCCGUGGAGUGCUACAAGCCUUGUGUCUUCUUGCUGAGCUCUGGGCCUGUGGACGGAUGGUUGAGGGUGGUAAUAAUUUCAUGGUGCAGCCUGGAAAGGUCUUUGUCAAGAGAUUAUGGAGCCCUGAAGACCUCUGUCUCUGCAGGGCUGAGACAUAACACGGGGUUUCAGACCUCACGUGGACGGGGUUCCGGGGCACAGUGCCUCGGACCUUGGUGUCUCCCAAGGCCCUGGGGGUCCUCUAGGUGGAGGUCUUGUGUAGUCCCCCUUGGACAGGUAGGCCCCUGAGCCGUCUCUCUGCAUGCUUGGAUCAAUGAUGAUAACCCAAAAAACAUUCCUUGGAAAAGCUGAACAAAAUGAGAGAACUGCAAACCGUCGUUCUCAUCAUGACUGAGGUCCGGUACGUGUCCUCAUGCGGAGAUGGCAGGAGCGCGGGUGCACGUUCAUGUGCUGAAGUUUGUCAGGCCACCCAGGGAUGCAUCUUAGGGCAGCUUCCUGUGCCCAGAGCCUUAGGCAGGUGGUUUUAGUGGGGUAGGUCCAGCUGGACGAGACCUGGGUUGAAUCGAUCCCAACCUGUUUGUUGGCUGUGUUGGCAACAGACGGGACACCUGGCCUGGCCCAGCCCGGCCUGACCCAACCCAACACAGUUUCCCCUCAGCCCUGUUUUGGUUGGUGUAGUCCCUGCCUCGGUGGGCACUGGUGAGGCCGGACACUGCUCAGGACCAGGUCUGGUUCUCCUGGGAGAGGAUCCCGCUAGCCGUUGUGGAGAUUAUGGCGCCAUGGGAGAGGUGGUUGACUGUGGACAGGGCCUAGGUUCAUUGUGUGAGUGGAACAGGAACGGGAACCUGGAAUUGGCUGGGGACUCCUCUUUGCCACUGCCACGGAGACGAAGCAUUCAGGCUGUGGCUCACCUUUGACAGUUGGUGCAAACUGGGGAGAUGCCAGGAAAUCCAGGAGGCGCUCUUCGCUUUGGGUCCCUCGGCAGGGGUAACCCAGAGCAAGUGUCCCGCAGCGGGGGUGGAGCUCAGUGUCACCCGCUGCAGCUGGGAUUUGCACUUGUGCUCCUGUGCCCACCGAAGGCGCCCUUACGUUUACCGCUGGUGGCAGUCUGUGGCAUCCCUAGUGCCCCACCUCGGAAAUAGCAGGGAAAGGUGUAGGAUGGAUGUGCCCUGGGGCUCUCCCUGUGGGCCAGCCCUGACUUUCGCUGAAGGUCCUGGAGCAGUGUGCUGCAGACUUGCCUUGCUGUGGCCUUGCAAGAGGAGGUCCCUUGGUGCCAUUCAGGGCCAGCUCUCCCAGAUGGACGUUGGGGCAGGAGAAAUGUGUCUGUGUUCCGGAGUACUGUGCUGGGAGUUGUGUCUGUGGGCAGGUGUCACUCUCUGCUGUCCCUAUGCCGCGAGGGAACUGGCCUACCCGGUCCUGGGUGGGGUUGGCGUUUGUCUGCGUCAAGCCCAUAUCAGCCCCCUUGCCCUGAGGUCCAGUCCCCACGGUUGGCCUCCCCAUGGAAGGUAUCCACCAGCUGGCCUUACUGCGGGCCUCCCUGGCAUGAUGCCGGCCUGGUUUGAGCUUUCCUAAGGUGCGUGGAGUCCACAGACACCUGUAGAAAGAGGGGGCCAUGCUGCGUCUGGCCCCGCAGGUCUCAUGAGGCGGACUUGAGCUGCAGAGGUCCCAAGCUCGUCACUUGGAGGCAUUCUGUUGCCUGCGCGGGGCUCCGGCACCAGGGAAGCUACUGUGUCAGGCCUUGUGGGUGAUGAAGUUGUCUUUGGAAGUCCACAGAAGAAGCACGCUUGCUGUGAGUGUGGCCAGAGCCUGGAAAGUAGUAUUCCUCCUUCUCCUGGGGUCGGCAGUCCCGUGGUACCUGCUUGUCAUCGCCUGAGUCCAGUGGGGAUGCCCCACUGAGAAGCCCCACGUCCCCUGCUUCCCAGGUGGAAGGGGUCGCAUGCACAUUGUGUCACAUUGGGCCCCGGCUUCUGUCCUCAGGGCAGCAGACAUGUCUGCAUUCCUGGCCUGGGAUUCCCUAGCUGGUGCCACCGUCUGCCUUCCACGUGAGGCCUGCUUUUCCAGAAGGGUGAAGGAGGGGUCUCUUCUCACCUCGUAGGGCACCCCACCUCAUCCCCUCACCCAGCCUUCAAAGGUCCAUAGCACCUGUGAUCUGACUUGUCAGUAUGGCCCUUGAAGGUGAGGUGGCACCCCCGUUCGCCAUCCUCAGGUUAUGGGAGAUGGUGUGCUGUAGGCCGAGGGCCCUCGGUGAGCAGCUGUGCCCAGGAAGGGCCCAGGUCAGGUUGCAGUUUGCAAUGAGGGCCUGGGGAGGGCCGCAGGGCAUCAGGGAGAGAAUGUAGGCCCAUGCGGGGGACGCUCCUGAGCCAUCACAGGAAGGACAAGCAGAUGGCAGAGUUAGCGCGAAGGUCAGGGCGGCCCUGGAUAGCUGGAAUGGAUGCCUUUGUCUCCCUCAUGUACGGUGUUUUGUGUCCCUGCUGCUUAGGAGGAGUUGCCACAGCUGGCUGGGCUUCAGCUGUGUGUUUCUGGUUGCGCGAUCCAGAAGGGAUAUGGAAUUGCUGCAAGGGAUGUGCUCUGUUGAUUAUGCACUGUAGUCAGCAUCCCUGGCAUAUAUGUGCACAUUUAUUUUCUUGGAAUUUCCAGCUGGUGGCCAUUAUUUGCCUUUCACAAUGUUUUUUUUUUUUUUUCCCAAGAAGGGGAAAAUGCGGUCACGUCUCACCCUUGUUGGAUACCCUACCCAGUUCCCCAAUCCAGCCUUUGUUAUUCAGAUA